AACGAACGCUGGCGGCAGGCCUAAUACAUGCAAGUCGAGCGCGCCCUUCGGGUGAGCGGCGGACGGGUGAGUAACGGGUGGGAACGUGCCCUUCUCUAAGGAAUAGCCUCGGGAAACUGAGAGUAAUACCUUAUACGCCCUUCGGGGGAAAGAUUUAUCGGAGAAGGAUCGGCCCGCCUUAGAUUAGGUAGUUGGUGGGGUAAUGGCCUACCAAGCCUACGAUCUAUAGCUGGUUUGAGAGGAUGAUCAGCCACACUGGGACUGAGACACGGCCCAG
rnacentral:rRNA from 1 species